GUUUUACGUGUGCUUGUUUUUUUUAAAUGGUCGAAUUAAUAAACUGAAAGAAAAGAAAAUCAACAUCGCUGACUUUGGAGUCAAGCAAAACCAACUGAACAGACGAGGCGACGUGAGUCAUUGCAAUGGAGCUGAGGUAACGGUAACCGGUCUGGACUGUUGUUGACUGGGCAAGCGUUAGACACUGGAACACUUUGUUGCAACUGUAGUUGAAAGUUUGCGUCUUUUGUGUUUUGUGUAACACCUUCCCAGCAAUUAAUGUUAGCAAGUUACUCAACCGCAACUAAAUUUGCAACACAGUUUAUCCGUGUAGUUACCCCUGUUAUUAGGAUGACAUCUUCAUCCCUGAAACUGUUUUCAUCCUGGAGGAGACUGUGCAGGAGGCAGGGGUGGAAAGAACGGUUAGUACAGCAUGCUAAACUGACCUCUGGGUGCCAGAGUGUUGCUGUGCUGCGGUGGAAAAGAGGUCCACCGGGACCAUCACUAAAGAGCUCGGGCCCAGCUAGAUUGAGCUCACGACCAUCAGCAUACAACCGAGGCCUGCCCCUAUACGCCCCAGAUGGAGCUGAUGGAGAGUGAGAUCAGUGAAGACCAUAACUCGCUAUAUGAACCUGAGAGCURAGAAUCACAAUCAUCACAGUGCGAGCCAAGAUGUACUAUCAAUCACUUUGGGGGAGUGGGAUGGUGUUCCGAAAAUGGAGAAGGAGCAGGCCAGUCAACAGCGAAUUCAAAGAUACACCCAUCCAUAAAGGGAAUCGGAGUGGAAUUUUUACCCGUUUCAAUGGAUGUGCUACCAUGUCCCGGUUCUGCUGUUUCGACUCUCUCUCAACCUAUGAAUGCUCAGCUAUGAAAAGCGAACUGACAUUUGCUCCUGAGGUGUUGAACUGU